UACAUACACAUACUCUGUGUGUGUGUGUAUAUAAUUAUUACGGUGAUAUCAUGCCGAUAUAAGCACGUCCUGGCUGGAGGGGAUCCCAGGAGACACGAGGCGCUGUGGCAGUGUAAGUGCGGCGGUGACAGAGUGAGCAGCGAGUGACAGCACUGUUAUUAACUUGACCAUCUUAUUAAAGUAAUACGAUUGAUAAUAACAUCUGAGGCACAUCUCCCGUUUAUUUCUGUCUGAGUUGACGGAAACGAUUGUUAUUACAUUCCAAAUUUCAAAAUGGAACCUUAUACUACGCUGUGAGUCGUGAUCAGGUGUGACUGCGUCAGCAACAUGCCCAUCAACAAGAACUUCGUUUUCCUCACAAUCAGCUCCCUCACCAUAGGUGAGUGCGUCCUCACGCUCUUCAUCAACAAGACAAACGAGAGUUUGAGAGGCAAACCUUCGACAACCUUCACCAAUAGUCUCUCUGGGAGCAUUGGGGUGCUGUCUAAUAUCUUUCGUCAUUUCUCUGUACUUCAUAGUGUCCAAGUUUCCUCAAGGUUCCACUGUGCCCUGCCUUGCGCUGUCUGUCAGCGUGAGGUAUUUUCACACAGUGUCCUGUUUGAAUUUGGUCUGCUUAGCCCUUGAUCGCUACCUAGCCAUUUGUAAGCCAUUUGACUACAGCAGACUUCUGACGAAAGUUCGCUGCCGCCUGCUCUGUGUCGUCUGCUGGGUCGCCCCUGCUUCCUGAUAUUGCUGCCAUGCAGUGUGGAAUUACCAACACUAUGUCAUAAAGGAGGCAAUUAUCUGAGCAUCACCUUCCUCGCUGCUUACAUCGUCACCUACACCCUGGGGGCCCUCGCCACCUGUGUCUUGUAUGUUCUCGUCGCCCUCGAGUUCCACAAGUACAACCGCGCUUGUCCCCUCGCAAUGGACGAGACACAGCGACUCGUUCGCUGGAGGACAGCAAAGUCUGCUCUCAAAGUUAUAGCACUCUCGCCUUCUUCUCUCUCCCACAUACGAUCUUCCCUCAGUUGUGCGCAUUGUGGACCCAGAGCGAGAUUACUUACCAUUUAUCGUGACAGAUGUCAUGCAUUACUUCAAUAGAGUCCACCUCCUUCUCUUCUUCCCCGCCUACGCCUGGUCCAACGCUGACUACCACAAGGCGCUCUGGUCCUUUGCUAAAACAUUGGCUGGAAUCUUCACCUCCUUCUUCUGCCCAACUGAACCGAAGCCGAGGAAGAGAAAGUUGACCGAGAACAGUUCAAAUACAGAAAGUGUUGAGCUCACAACACAAGUCUGAUGAGUGGUUCAGCGGCAGACUACCUGGCGUGAUGUUCAGUGGUCACCUUCCCUGUAACGCAUGACUCGUGUGACCUGUAACUCAUUGCUUAUGUGACCUGAAACACAUAUUAUGUGACCUGUAACACAUAUUAUGUGACCUGUAACAUAUAUUAUGUAGCCUGUAACAUAUAUUAUGUGACCUGUAACACAUAUUAUGUGACCUGUAACACAUAUUUUGUGCCCUGUAACAUAUAUUAUGUGACCUGUAACACACAUUGUGUAGUAAAAUAAUAUUUACAUUAUGUGACCUGCAAUAUAUAUUAUGUUGAGUGUAAUAUUAUUUUAUGUGUAAUAGACAUACUGUGUGAACCGGUGUGGUGAGUUGGUGGAUAAGAGCUUUAGUGUCUGGGAGCAGCAGUAGGUCUUAUCGAGUCAUGACACUCUCUUACACCCCACAAGACAACCUCACCUCACCUGGUACUCAAAUAAUUACGUUAAUGAUUAGAUACGUUUACAAUAUUAACAGAAACAUAUUCAGUCAAAACAAAGGUUGUAAGUCACAACACCAGAGACGACAUACCAUUAAUCAGUCACCAGACCCAGUAGUUGGUGGCGACUAUUAAGUCACAACACCAGAGACGACACACCAUUAACCAGUCACCAGACCCAGUAGUUGGUGGCGACUAUUAAGUCACAACACCAGAGACGACAUACCAUUAAUCAGUCACCAGACCCAGUAGUUGGUGGCGACUAUUAAGUCACAACACCAGAGACGACACCAUUAAUCAGUCACCAGACCCAGUAGUUGGUGGCGACUAUUAAGUCACAACACCAGAGACGACACACCAUUAAUCAGUCACCAGACCCAGUAGUUGGUGGCGACUAUUAAGUCACAACACCAGAGACGACAUACCAUUAAUCAGUCACCAGACCCAGUAGUUGGUGGCGACUAUUAAGUCACAACACCAGAGACGACACACCAUUAAUCAGUCACCAGACCCAGUAGUUGGUGGCGACUAUUAAGUCACAACACCAGAGACGACAUACCAUUAAUCAGUCACCAGACCCAGUAGUUGGUGGCGACUAUUAAGUCACAACACCAGAGACGACACACCAUUAAUCAGUCACCAGACCCAGUAGUUGGUGGCGACUAUUAAGUCACAACACCAGAGACGACAUACCAUUAAUCAGUCACCAGACCCAGUAGUUGGUGGCGACUAUUAAGUCACAACACCAGAGACGACACACCAUUAAUCAGUCACCAGACCCAGU
rnacentral:lncRNA from 1 species